CUUCUUCACUGGAGCCACUAAGUUUUUGAAUUCUCACGGGAAUUGAUGGCUCUUUCAUCACUUCCCGCCGCGCCAAGAUAUACCCCCUUUUCUUGAUGAAAAGAAACGACUCACCGAC
ensembl:ncRNA F28E10.6 ncRNA